GAUGAACGCUAGCGGCAGGCUUAACACAUGCAAGUCGAGGGGUAACAGGGUUGCUUGCAACCGCUGACGACCGGCGCACGGGUGCGUAACGCGUAUACAAUCUACCUUACACUGAGGGAUAGCCCAGAGAAAUUUGGAUUAAUACUUCAUGGUAUUAUUGAGUGGCAUCACUUAAUAAUUAAAGGAUACGGUGUAAGAUGAGUAUGCGUCCUAUUAGCUAGUUGGUGUGGUAACGGCACACCAAGGCAACGAUAGGUAGGGGUCCUGAGAGGGAGAUCCCCCACACUGGUACUGAGACACGGACCAGACUCCUACGGGAGGCAGCAGUGAGGAAUAUUGGACAAUGGAGGCAACUCUGAUCCAGCCAUGCCGCGUGCAGGAAGACUGCCCUAUGGGUUGUAAACUGCUUUUGUACAGGAAGAAACCCUUCUACGAGUAGAAGAUUGACGGUACUGUAAGAAUAAGGAUCGGCUAACUCCG
rnacentral:rRNA from 1 species